rnacentral:rRNA from 1 species
AUGGGCGGCGCCGCCAGGUGGAUCCAGCGGCUGAGCGCGGCGAGGAUCUCGACGGAGGCGCUGGAGCGGGGCCAGAGCCGCGUCAUCGACGCCUCUCUCACCCUCAUCCGCGAGCGCGCCAAGCUCAAGGGAGAGUUGCUGCGUGCUAUGGGUGGUGUGAAAGCUUCUGCGACCCUCUUAGGAGUACCCCUCGGGCACAACUCAUCUUUCUUGCAGGGGCCUGCAUUUGCUCCUCCUCGCAUAAGGGAGGCCAUUUGGUGUGGAAGCACCAACUCUAGCACAGAAGAAGGCAAGGAAUUAAAUGAUCCAAGAGUGCUAACUGAUGUUGGUGAUGUCCCCAUACAAGAGAUCCGUGACUGUGGUGUUGAAGAUGACAGAUUGAUGCAUGUAAUCAGCGAGUCUGUCAAAACAGUGAUGGACGAAGUAAGAUCCUCUUCGGCCGUUGUCUUAGGAGGCGAUCACUCGAUAUCUUAUCCAGUUGUUAGGGCUGUGUCUGAAAAGCUUGGCGGACCUGUUGACAUUCUUCAUCUUGACGCACAUCCAGAUAUCUAUGACUGUUUUGAAGGGAACACUUACUCACAUGCUUCUUCAUUUGCAAGAAUAAUGGAAGGAGGUUAUGCGAGGCGACUUUUGCAGGUUGGACUUAGAUCAAUUACCAAAGAAGGACGCGAGCAAGGGAAGAGAUUUGGUGUGGAACAGUAUGAGAUGCGCACGUUCUCCAGGGAUCGGGAGAAGCUUGAGAGUCUGAAACUUGGGGAAGGUGUGAAGGGGGUGUAUGUCUCCGUCGACGUGGACUGCCUCGACCCUGCAUUCGCUCCUGGCGUAUCUCAUAUCGAGCCGGGAGGCCUGUCAUUCCGUGACGUGCUCAACAUCCUCCAGAACCUGCAAGGCGAUGUUGUCGCCGGAGAUGUGGUGGAGUUCAACCCGCAACGCGACACGGUCGACGGCAUGACGGCUAUGGUCGCCGCAAAGCUGGUCCGGGAGCUGAGCGCCAAGAUCUCAAAAUGA